rnacentral:rRNA from 1 species
CCUACGGGCGGCAGCAGUGAGGAAUAUUGGUCAAUGGCCGUAAGGCUGAACCAGCCAAGUCGCGUGAAGGAAGAAGGUACUAUGGUUUGUAAACCUCUUUUAUAGGGGAAUAAAGGUAUCCACGUGUGGACAUUUGCGUGUACCCUAUGAAUAAGCAUCGGCUAACUCCGUGCCAGCAGCCGCGGUAAUACGGAGGAUGCGAGCGUUAUCCGGAUUUAUUGGGUUUAAAGGGUGCGUAGGUUGUUUUUUAAGUCAGCGGUGAAAGUGUGUGGCUCAACCCUAAAAUGGCCGUUGAAACUGGAAGACUUGAGUGUGAUUGAGGUAGGCGGAAUGCGUGGUGUAGCGGUGAAAUGCAUAGAUAUCACGCAGAACUCCGAUUGCGAAGGCAGCAUACUAAGCCAAAACUGACACUGAGGCACGAAAGCGUGGGGAGCGAACAGGAUUAGAUACCCCUGUAGUC